rnacentral:rRNA from 1 species
AACGAACGCUGGCGGCAUGCCUAACACAUGCAAGUCGAACGAGACCUUCGGGUCUAGUGGCGCACGGGUGCGUAACGCGUGGGAACCUGCCCUUAGGUUCGGAAUAACUCCCCGAAAGGGGUGCUAAUACCGGAUAAUUUCUUCGGACCAAAGAUUUAUCGCCUUUGGAUGGGCCCGCGUUGGAUUAGCUAGUUGGUAGGGUAAAAGCCUACCAAGGCGACGAUCCAUAGCUGGUCUGAGAGGAUGAUCAGCCACACUGGGACUGAGACACGGCCCAGACUCCUACGGGAGGCAGCAGUGGGGAAUAUUGGACAAUGGGCGAAAGCCUGAUCCAGCAAUGCCGCGUGAGUGAUGAAGGCCUUAGGGUUGUAAAGCUCUUUUACCCGGGAUGAUAAUGACAGUACCGGGAGAAUAAGCUCCGGCUAACUCCGUG